rnacentral:rRNA from 1 species
UACGUAGGGUGCAAGCGUUGUCCGGAAUUAUUGGGCGUAAAGAGCUCGUAGGCGGUUUGUUGCGUCGGCUGUGAAAUCCCGAGGCUCAACCUCGGGUCUGCAGUCGAUACGAGCAAACUAGAGUGUUGCAGGGGAGACUGGAAUUCCUGGUGUAGCGGUGAAAUGACGCAGAGUAUCAGGAGGAACACCGGUGGCGAAGGCGGGUCUCUGGGCAACAACUGACGCUGAGGAGCGAAAGCGUGGGGAGCGAACAGG